rnacentral:rRNA from 1 species
ACUCCUACGGGAAGCAGCAGUAGGGAAUCUUCCGCAAUGGACGAAAGUCUGACGGAGCAACGCCGCGUGAGUGAUGAAGGUUUUCGGAUCGUAAAGCUCUGUUGUUAGGGAAGAACAAGUGCAAGAGUAACUGCUUGCACCUUGACGGUACCUAACCAGAAAGCCACGGCUAACUACGUGCCAGCAGCCGCGGUAAUACGUAGGUGGCAAGCGUUGUCCGGAAUUAUUGGGCGUAAAGGGCUCGCAGGCGGUUUCUUAAGUCUGAUGUGAAAGCCCCCGGCUCAACCAGGGAGGGUCAUUGGAAACUGGGAAACUUGAGUGCAGAAGAGGAGAGUGGAAUUCCACGUGUAGCGGUGAAAUGCGUAGAGAUGUGGAGGAACACCAGUGGCGAAGGCGACUCUCUGGUCUGUAACUGACGCUGAGGAGCGAAAGCGUGGGGAGCGAACAGGAUUAGAUACCCUGGUAGUCCACGCCGUAAACGAUGAGUGCUAAGUGUUAGGGGGUUUCCGCCCCUUAGUGCUGCAGCUAACGCAUUAAGCACUCCGCCUGGGGAGUACGGUCGCAAGACUGAAACUCAAAUGAAUUGACGG